UGACCUCAAAUCAGGUAGGACUACCCGCUGAACUUAAGCAUAUCAAUAAGCGGAGGAAAAGAAACUAACAAGGAUUCCCCUAGUAACUGCGAGUGAAGCGGGAAAAGCUCAAAUUUAAAAUCUGGCGGUCUUUUGGCUGUCCGAGUUGUAAUCUAGAGAAGUGUUAUCCGCGCUGGACCGUGUACAAGUCUCCUGGAAUGGAGCAUCAUAGAGGGUGAGAAUCCCGUCUUUGACAUGGACUACCAGGGCUUUGUGAUGCGCUCUCAAAGAGUCGAGUUGUUUGGGAAUGCAGCUCAAAAUGGGUGGUAAAUUCCAUCUAAAGCUAAAUAUUGGCGAGAGACCGAUAGCGAACAAGUACCGUGAGGGAAAGAUGAAAAGAACUUUGGAAAGAGAGUUAAACAGUACGUGAAAUUGCUGAAAGGGAAACGCUUGAAGUCAGUCGCGUCGUCCAGGGAUCAACCUUGCUUUUGCUUGGUGCACUUUCUGGUUUGACGGGUCAGCAUCAAUUUUGACCAUUGGAAAAAGGCUAGGGGAAUGUGGCAUCCUUGGAUGUGUUAUAGCCCUUGGUCACAUACAAUGGUUGGGAUUGAGGAACUCAGCACGCCGCAAGGCCGGGUUUUAAACCACGUACGUGCUUAGGAUGC
rnacentral:rRNA from 1 species